UUCUUUCUUUCUUGCUUGCUUUCAGGCAUUUCCACAAACAAUUUCCCAAAAGAAAACCGUUUCUUUUCACUAACAUGGCCAGACCACAACAGCGAUAUCGAGGCGUCCGACAAAGGCAUUGGGGCUCUUGGGUAUCCGAAAUUCGCCACCCUCUAUUGAAGACUAGAAUUUGGCUAGAGGACGCUGCCCGAGCCUAUGAUGAAGCUGCAAGGCUCAUGUGUGGACCAAGGGCUAGGACCAACUUCCCUUAUAACCCAAACGCAUCUCAAUCAUCAUCAUCAUCAAAACUUCUCUCGGCAACUUUGACAGCCAAGUUGCAUAGGUGCUAUAUGGCUUCGCUGCAAAUGACCAAACAAACAUCACUUUAUGAACAGAAACAAAAAGCACCAACUUCACACGCUAACACCACCACAAUCUCCACCACAACCACCACCCCCAAUGGCAUUGCUAUAAAACGUGAGGAAUUGGGUUCCCAGUUGCCUGAGAAAUAUCCAUUGCAAGUUCAAGAGACAGAGGCAAACUGGGUUGUCAAAAAAGUUCAGGCUGACAGCAUCCAGCAGCAGUUUAUGCCUCUUGAAGAGCAUCACAUAGAGCAAAUGAUCGAGGAGUUGCUUGAUUAUGGGUCUCUCGAGCUAUGCUCUGCUGCACCACCUCAGCCUCUGUAAUGUGUAAUCCACAAGUUUCACAAAA
rnacentral:misc_RNA from 1 species